UACGUAGGACACGAGCGUUAUCCGGAUUUACUGGGCGUAAAGCGUCUGUAGGCGGUUGGAUAAGUUGGGCGUGAAAGCUCCGGGCUUAACUCGGAGAGGCCGUUCAAUACUGUCUAACUUGAGGGCGAGAGAGGGGAGCGGAAUUCCUGGUGUAGCGGUAAAAUGCGCAGAUAUCAGGAGGAACACCAGUGGCGUAGGCGGCUCCCUGGCUCGCACCUGACGCUGAGAGACGACAGCUAGGGGAGCGAACAGG
rnacentral:rRNA from 1 species